rnacentral:rRNA from 1 species
UACGUAGGGGGCAAGCGUUGUCCGGAAUCAUUGGGCGUAAAGCGCGUGUAGGCGGCUCGGUAAGUCUGCUGUGAAAGUCCAGGGCUCAACCCUGGGAUGCCGGUGGAUACUGUCGAGCUCGAGUCCGGAAGAGGCGAGUGGAAUUCCUGGUGUAGCGGUGAAAUGCGCAGAUAUCAGGAGGAACACCAAUGGCGAAGGCAGCUCGCUGGGACGUGACUGACGCUGAGAUACGAAAGCGUGGGGAGCAAACAGG